CGACGUCCGUCGCGUUCGCGGGAGUUUUAUAUUUCCUUGAACCGAUGCUCAUUGAGCUUGGGCCUGGAACAUUGCCUGGUGGGUGUGAUCGUCUCGCGUCAGACGAACCCGAAGCCUUGCUGACCUCGCCCACCUGAAUCCCCUGGGUUCAGGAAUGCGGCUCUCGGCUCGCGGCGGACACCCC
rnacentral:other from 1 species